GCGCAGAUAGCCUAGUGGAUAAGAGGCUUGACUACGACUUGGGAGGCCAAGGGUUCGACCCCCAGAUAGUGCU